AGGGCACCACCAGGAGUGGAGCCUGCGGCUUAAUUUGACUCAACACGGGAAAACUCACCCGGCCCGGACACUGGAAGGAUUGACAGAUUGAGAGCUCUUUCUUGAUUCAGUGGGUGGUGGUGCAUGGCCGUUCUUAGUUGGUGGAGUGAUUUGUCUGGUUAAUUCCGAUAACGAACGAGACUCUAGCCUACUAAAUAGAUCGUCGGCUUACAAACGCCGGCGAGACUUCUUAGAGGGACAGGCGGUGAUUCAACCGCACGAAACAGAGCAAUAACAGGUCUGUGAUGCCCUUAGAUGUCCGGGGCCGCACGCGCGCUACACUGAAGUGAUCAGCGUGCUUUUUCAAUCUACUCUGUCAAGAGUGGGGAACCCAAUGAACCUUCUUCGUGAUUGGGAUAGGGGAUUGUAAUUAUUCUUCUUGGACGAGGAAUUCCCAGUAAAUGCGAGUCAUAAGCUCGCGUUGAUUACGUCCCUGCCCUUUGUACACACCGCCCGUCGCUACUACCGAUUGAACGAUUU
rnacentral:rRNA from 1 species